AAUACAAGGUUGAGACAGCGCCACGGGCGCCUUGUACGUGCGCCUCUGCAGGGUGGUGAGUGGUGUCGCGCCGCCGCCGCACCGAGAGGGGCAGAGCAACACAGUGGGGGGGGGGAGAGCGCCAACACGGCCAACACCCACUGGGGGUGCCUAACAAAGAAUGAGGGACAAGACGGCUCGGCGACGACCCGACCCGCGUCGCAUGAUGGUCGGAAAGGCGCCAAAGAAUCACGUCCACAUUGGGCUGUGCGUCCUGUACAGCGGCAGCGGAUUUCGUGGGCUGCAGAUCCAGGCCCACGCACCGACGUGCCACACAGUUGAGGGCGUGCUAAUCCAAGCACUGAAGGAUGCCGGCAUCGUCGCGGACGUGGUCCGCGGAAGGCCUGCUGGCGAGCAUCACCACUUUGCGCGCUCUUGCCGCACUGAUCGCGGCGUUCACGCUAUUCGAAACAUGGUCUCCCUCUUCGUUCCCAAGGAGGUGUUUGAGGAGAUGGGGCAGGCUGAGGGCAUCUGUGAGAAGCUUAACAGGCAGCUCCCGUCCACGGUUCGCGUCGCGAACGUCAUGCAGCUCUCCGGCAGCUUUAUCCCGCGCCACUGCUGCAACCGGCGCGUGUACCGCUAUAUGCUGCCGCUCUACGCUCUCUUGCCCCCGUGUGACACAUGGACCGCGGUCGACAAGUACUACCCUGGCUGCCUCGCUCACGUGCAAGCGCUGGCGGAGGAGGCGGCCGCGGCGCAACGAACCCAGUACAGUAUCCCGUACGUCGACCUAGAGAAGAUGAAUGCAGUCGCGCCUCCGGCCGAUGCGCAGGUGUCGGCGUCGUCGUGGCUGCGCGACCUGAAGGCGAACGCGGAUCGGUGCAACCAGGUGCUGCGCUCUCACUUCACAGGCUCGCGCCGAUACCACAACUUCUCCGUCGACAUCGACUCAAACCGUUCUGGUGUAAGCGCGAAGGUUAUCCAGCCAACGACGGACGAGGCACUGCGCGCCAUCUACCGCAGCGAAGUGUGCCCGCGGUUGUUCUUCUUCCCCUGCUCGACCAAGGGCAGAGCUGCUGACGAGGCGCCAGUUCCGGUGCACGGCGAGAGCAGGACGGAGUACGACAUGAAUCUUCUCAGGUACCCGCCACGAAUGUCCACUUCGCCGGAGGACACGGACGGCGGCAGCUUCGCGGCCUCGACGACGACGGCUCCUACCGGCACCAGCACCACCCCCGCCACAUGCUUGUCACCGAACACGACAGCGCUGCCGUUCCUCUUCUUCCAAAUUGAGGGCUGCUCCUUUCUGCUCAACAUGAUACGCAAGAUCAUCGGGUCGGUGCUGGCGGUGUGCCGCGGCGCUCGCGAGUCCAUCCUCGAAGACGCAUUCUCGCCUGAGCGUCGUGUCACGACCCCGCUGGCGCCGGGGCCGUACCUGUACCUUGCUCAGUCCACCUAUCAUGGGUACGACCGUUCCAUUGGCGGCGCCGGCAAUGCACACCAGCGUGGACGCCUCAGAAGGGUGCAGGACGCGUGGGGCGGCGCGGUUAGUGAGGCGGCCGAGGUGUUUGCGUUCCACAAGAUUGCGGCGGACAUCGUGGACGUGGAUCUGAAUGCGAUGCCGCCCCUGGACGACAUCCUCGCGGCGCGCGAUCGUGCACGGGCGGCGAGCCGGCCGCACACUGCCGUCGAGGACGCGCAUCUCGCCGACAUGAAGGAGUACAAGCCUGUGCUUCCCACUCGCAUUCCGUGGCCGGCCAGCAGCGAAAUGACGGUGUUCUUGCGGCUACUGCGAGUCCAUAACUGGAAUGUGCGGCCUAUCCAGCUCGACCCGGCCUGCAAAGCGCUGCGUGAGAUCAGCAAUAGGAAAGGGCGGCUAGCUGCCUCCUCCGCGGCCGCCGCCGAAUCACCGGGGGCCGAGGCAAGCAAGGCGGGAGAGGCGGAUGGAGGCGAUACCAAGGCGAACGAGACCACUGUAGAGCAGGCGGCUACGCCUACCGAUGGUGCAUGGAGGAUGCACAGUGAAGGAAGCGGUACGGGUGGAGUACCGGAGGGUGGCGAGGAUGGCUGGUUGUACGUGGCAGACACCCCUGAGGAGGCAUCGGUUCAGCGCCAAGCCUACUUUGCAAGCUGGUGGAAGCGGGCUCGCCCCUGGGAGUACGACGAUGCGAUGGGGAAGUCCUUGAUGCAUGGCGAAGAAGUCGGCACCGAGGAUGACUUCGAUGACGGCGACGGCAGUACUGCUCGGCCGCGGCGACACCGCCGUGUCUGAUUGCCGAGAAGAGUGCGACACUCUCCCUACCCCACCCUCAUCUUUCCACCUCCACUUGGUUUUGGCAUUUGGGUCUCUUCGCUGCUCUGCCAG
rnacentral:misc_RNA from 1 species